UCGGAACUGAACGUCACUUGAAGCAGGCGGAGUGAGAGAAGCAGGUUGCGAAGAACAGGAGGAUUUUAUCAAUUUAAAUAUAAGUGGUUGCAUACUGUAACCGGACCUAACACGCAAGCUGGAAGGGCUCAGCGCAGCCUGGGUGCCCAGGGACCCUGAGUGCAGGGAGAGCAGCGAGCGCCCCCCCGGGGUCAUGGACCACACCAAGGGGGGCCUCGUCAUCUUCAGCGCCAACUCACACCCCGCCAGCAGGGAGCUGUGCAAGAGGAUCUCAGAGCGGUUGGGGGUGGAGCUCGGUAAAGUGCAGGUGUACCAGGAAGCUAACAGAGGUACGUGCUGGAUAACAUUCACUCACACGACUGAAUGUGAUUUAUGAUGAGAUUUGUUUUCAAGGGUUCUUUUCGGCCUGCUGGCUUUUCUCUUUGGAUUCAAAGGGUUUCAUGGCACAGAAGCUACCGUGCAGAAGUACCAAGGAAAAUGUUCCGAGCUCCUCCAACAAUGCGACAUAGUUAUAUAAGUCAUAAACAAUACAACUAAUUAAAAGUAAACGUAAUAUAUAUAACGUAUACACGUAAGUAGAAUAUGAUAUAUACAAGAACAGAAUGUAAGAUUACAUUUAAUGCAGUUUAUUACAGUGAUAAAUAUUAGAUGAAUACAUUAGGCGCUUUCACACCAAGAACUUAGUUCCUGAGA